AUACGUAGGGGGCGAGCGUUGUCCGGAAUGAUUGGGCGUAAAGGGCGCGUAGGCGGCCCGGUAAGUCUGGAGUGAAAGUCCUGUUUUUAAGAUGGGAAUUGCUUUGGAUACUGUCGGGCUUGAGUGCAGGAGAGGUAAGUGGAAUUCCCAGUGUAGCGGUGAAAUGCGUAGAGAUUGGGAGGAACACCAGUGGCGAAGGCGACUUACUGGACUGUAACUGACGCUGAGGCGCGAAAGUGUGGGGAGCAAACAGGAUUAGAUACCCUGGUAGUCCACACUGUAAACGAUGAAUGCUAGGUGUAGGGGGUAUCGACCCCUUCUGUGCCGCAGUCAACACAAUAAGCAUUCCGCCUGGGGAGUACGGCCGCAAGGUAGAAACUCAAAGGAAUUGACGGGG
rnacentral:rRNA from 1 species